rnacentral:ncRNA from 1 species
AUUUUUCCUGUGAAGAUUAAAGUAAAAACAUAUCUUUUUGUUCUAGAGAGAGUAACCGUGGCUGAAAGUUGCUCCUAGAGGUAGUUUUGAAAGACGAGUUGGAGGAUUGGUAGUGAAAAGCUGCCACGUAACAGGCGUUAACUGUAAGAGGAGAGUUUAUACUCUCGAAUUAAGGUGGCACCGCGUCCUCAUCACGUCCUUACC